ACUCAAAUGAAUAGACGGGGGCCCGCACAAGCGGUGGAGCAUGUGGUUUAAUUCGACGCAACGCGAAGAACCUUACCAAGGCUUGACAUGGAUAUGACAGGUGCAGAGAUGCACCCUCCCUUCGGGGCAUAUCACACAGGUGGUGCAUGGUUGUCGUCAGCUCGUGUCGUGAGAUGUUGGGUUAAGUCCCGCAACGAGCGCAACCCCUAUGUUUAGUAGCCAACAGGUAAAGCUGGGCACACUAGAGAGACUGCCGUGGAGAACACGGAGGAAGGUGGGGACGACGUCAAAUCAUCAUGCCCCUUAUGUCUUGGGCUACACACGUGCUACAAUGGCUGAGACAAAGUGAAGCAAAAGGGCGACCUGGAGCGAAUCACGAAAAGCAGCCUCAGUUCGGAUUGCAGUCUGCAACUCGACUGCAUGAAGUUGGAAUCGCUAGUAAUCGCGGAUCAUCAUGCCGCGGUGAAUACGUUCCCGGGCCUUGUACACACCGCCCGU
rnacentral:rRNA from 1 species